AGAGUUUGAUCAUGGCUCAGGAUGAACGCUAGCGACAGGCCUAACACAUGCAAGUCGAGGGGCAGCGGGGAGGUAGCAAUACCUUUGCCGGCGACCGGCGCACGGGUGAGUAACACGUAUGCAAUCCACCUGUAACAGGGGGAUAACCCGGAGAAAUCCGGACUAAUACCCCAUAAUAUGGGCUCUCCGCAUGGAGGGUCCAUUAAAGAGAGCAAUCUUGGUUACAGACGAGCAUGCGCUCCAUUAGCCAGUUGGCGGGGUAACGGCCACCAAGGCGACGAUGGAUAGGGGUUCUGAGAGGAAGGUCCCCCANAUUGGAACUGAGACACGGUCCAAACUCCUACGGGAGGCA
rnacentral:rRNA from 1 species